rnacentral:rRNA from 1 species
GACGAACGCUGGCUGCGUGCUUAACACAUGCAAGUCGAACGGAAAGGCCCUGCUUUUGUGGGGUGCUCGAGUGGCGAACGGGUGAGUAACACGUGAGUAACCUGCCCUUGACUUUGGGAUAACUUCAGGAAACUGGGGCUAAUACCGGAUAGGAGCUCCUGCUGCAUGGUGGGGGUUGGAAAGUUUCGGCGGUUGGGGAUGGACUCGCGGCUUAUCAGCUUGUUGGUGGGGUAGUGGCUUACCAAGGCUUUGACGGGUAGCCGGCCUGAGAGGGUGACCGGCCACAUUGGGACUGAGAUACGGCCCAGACUCCUACGGGAGGCAGCAGUGGGGAAUAUUGCACAAUGGGCGGAAGCCUGAUGCAGCAACGCCGCGUGCGGGAUGACGGCCUUCGGGUUGUAAACCGCUUUCGCCUGUGACGAAGCGUGAGUGACGGUAAUGGGUAAAGAAGCACCGGCUAACUACGUGCCAGCAGCCGCGGUGAUACGUAGGGUGCGAGCGUUGUCCGGAUUUAUUGGGCGUAAAGGGCUCGUAGGUGGUUGAUCGCGUCGGAAGUGUAAUCUUGGGGCUUAACCCUGAGCGUGCUUUCGAUACGGGUUGACUUGAGGAAGGUAGGGGAGAAUGGAAUUCCUGGUGGAGCGGUGGAAUGCGCAGAUAUCAGGAGGAACACCAGUGGCGAAGGCGGUUCUCUGGGCCUUUCCUGACGCUGAGGAGCGAAAGCGUGGGGAGCGAACAGGCUUAGAUACCCUGGUAGUCCACGCUGUAAACGGUGGGUACUAGGUGUGGGGUCCAUUCCACGGGUUCCGUGCCGUAGCUAACGCUUUAAGUACCCCGCCUGGGGAGUACGGCCGCAAGGCUAAAACCCAAAGGAAUUGACGGGGCCCCGCACAAGCGGCGGAGCAUGCGGAUUAAUUCGAUGCAACGCGUAGAACCUUACCUGGGUUUGACAUGGAUCGGGAGUGCUCAGAGAUGGGUGUGCCUCUUUUGGGGUCGGUUCACAGGUGGUGCAUGCCUGUCGUCAGCUCGUGUCGUGAGAUGUUGGGUUAAGUCCCGCAACGAGCGCAACCCUUGUUCACUGUUGCCAGCACGUUAUGGUGGGGACUCAGUGGAGACCGCCGGGGUCAACUCGGAGGAAGGUGGGGAUGACGUCAAGUCAUCAUGCCCCUUAUGUCCAGGGCUUCACGCAUGCUACAAUGGCUGGUACAGAGAGUGGCGAGCCUGUGAGGGUGAGCGAAUCUCGGAAAGCCGGUCUCAGUUCGGAUUGGGGUCUGCAACUCGACCUCAUGAAGUCGGAGUCGCUAGUAAUCGCAGAUCAGCAACGCUGCGGUGAAUACGUUCCCGGGGCU